rnacentral:rRNA from 1 species
UACGAAGGGGGCUAGCGUUGCUCGGAAUCACUGGGCGUAAAGCGCGCGCAGGCGGUCUUCCAAGUCAGUGGUGAAAGCCCGGAGCUCAACUCCGGAACUGCCAUUGAAACUGUAAGACUUGAGUACGAGAGAGGUGAGUGGAAUUCCCAGUGUAGAGGUGAAAUUCGUAGAUAUUGGGAAGAACACCGGUGGCGAAGGCGGCUCACUGGCUCGUAACUGACGCUCAGGCGCGACAGCGUGGGGAUCAAACAGG